rnacentral:lncRNA from 1 species
GGAAGGAAGGAAGGAAGGAAGGAAGGAAGGAAGGAAGGAAGGAAGGAAGGAAGGAAGGAAGGAAGGAAGGAAGGAAGGAAGGACAUGCAUUCAGGGAUGUCACUUGAUAUACCUCCUUCAGUGUCCAAUCAGAGUCCAAUUGGAUCAACACAAGGAUUCAGAUUGGUUGGAUAUUUUUUGCAUGCCAGUGUACAUACAUUGUAACAGAUUGUUGCUGGAGCGGGCAGUUGUUUACGAAAGUGGAAUGUACGCAAGACAGAUUCCAAUGUUUAAAUAUGAAAUAUUUGCCCUUGAAGGAAGCCAUCCUUUUCUCAGAAAGAGGUGUGCACUUAAGGUUUGUUUUUGUUGCUGCAACCGCUCUCGUAGUGUUUUUUUGCUAAAGCUCUUUUCAGAAUAACUUUUUCCUUCUUUAAAGUAAAAAAAAAAAGAAUAAAUGGUGAGUGUUUGAGUGCCUGUAUGUGUUGCUGCUUGACGGUGUGAAAUGCUUUUAGUUUCCUAUUAUCGGGCCUGUGAAGCCUGUGCCCUCCAACCAUACUGUAGCCUGAGCUGCGUUUGCAACACAGAACUAUCAGUGCUCUUUUUAACGUUUUUGCAACACUGACACUGGUUUAAUAGUGCAAGGCCGAAGCGUUGCAGUUCUGAAUGCACCCUUUAAUGCUUUCUAUAGAAAGAAUUAUAUCACCCACUCUCUGCCUCACGGACAAGACACUACAUGUCCCAGACACCCUCAGCCCAGACACUACGUUACCCAGACACCCUCAGCCCAGACACUACGUUACCCAGACAUCCUCAGCCCAGACACUACGUCGCCCAGACACUACGUCGCCCAGACACUACGUUACCCAGACACCCUCAGCCCAGACACUACGUCGCCCAGACACUACGUCAUCCAGACAUCCUCAGCCCAGACACUAUGUUGCCCAGACACCCUCAGCCCAGACACUACGUUACCCAGACACCCUCAGCCCAGACACUACGUUACCCAGACACCCUCAGCCCAGACACUACGUUACCCAGACACCCUCAGCCCAGACACUACGUUACCCAGACACCCUCAGCCCAGACACUACGUUACCCAGACACCCUCAGCCCAGACACUACGUUACCCAGACACCCUCAGCCCAGACACUACGUUACCCAGA